UACGAACGCUGGCGGCGUGCUUAACACAUGCAAGUCGAGCGGUAAGGCCCUUCGGGGUACAUGAGUGGCGAACGGGUGAGUAACACGUGGGUGAUCUGCCCUGCACUUCGGGAUAAGCCUGGGAAACUGGGUCUAAUACCGGAUAGGACCACUGCCUGCAUGGGUGGUGGUGGAAAGCUUUUGCGGUGUGGGAUGGGCCCGCGGCCUAUCAGCUUGUUGGUGGGGUGAUGGCCUACCAAGGCGACGACGGGUAGCCGGCCUGAGAGGGUGACCGGCCACACCGGGACUGAGAUACGUCCCAGACUCAUACGGGAGGCAGCAGUGGGGUAUAUUGCACAAUGGGCGCAAGCCUGAUGCAGCGACGCCGCGUGGGGGAUGACGGCCUUCGGGUUGUAAACCUCUUUCGGCACCGACGAAGCGCAAGUGACGGUAGGUGCAGAAGAAGGACCGGCCAACUACGUGCCAGCAGCCGCCGUAAUAC
rnacentral:rRNA from 1 species